AACGAACGCUGGCGGCAUGCCUAACACAUGCGAGUCGAACGAGACCUUCGGGUCUAGUGGCGUACGGGUGCGUAACGCGUGGGAACCUGCCCUUAGGUUCGGAAUAACUCCCCGAAAGGGGUGCUAAUACCGGAUAAUGUCUUCGGACCAAAGAUUUAUCGCCUUUGGAUGGGCCCGCGUUGGAUUAGCUAGUUGGUAGGGUAAAAGCCUACCAAGGCGACGAUCCAUAGCUGGUCUGAGAGGAUGAUCAGCCACACUGGGACUGAGACACGGCCCAGACUCCUACGGGAGGCAGCAGUGGGGAAUAUUGGACAAUGGGCGAAAGCCUGAUCCAGCAAUGCCGCGUGAGUGAUGAAGGCCUUAGGGUUGUAAAGCUCUUUUACCCGGGAUGAUAAUGACAGUACCGGGAGAAUAAGCUCCGGCUAACUCCGUG
rnacentral:rRNA from 1 species